UCUAAGUAUUGAAACUAUGAGAUUUCAUUUAAUUACAAGAGCAUGAACUACUAGAUUUUUAUUUCAACCUCAAUUAUGUACUUUCGUGAGUAUAUACAUAUACAUAUACAUGUUAAACUGUGAUUUAUGAAAAGAAUGAGGUUGUGAAUAGUUGUCUUAUCCAAAUAUGCAUGUGAAAGGGUUUUAAUGACGUUAUUUAUAUGGGUGUUGCUCUUAUUUUAUUUAUGGUGGUUGCUUGAAUAUGAUUGAAAAGGGGUAAGUCUCCUCCUAAAGCUUUUACAGAAUUUAUCAUUUAGAAAUGUUUACCUAAACCACUAUGUUUACUAAAGGAGUCUUGCUUUGUGACAUUUUGGAGCAUCUUAUGAUGGUAAACGAUUCAUGUCAUGUAAGUGGUAAAAAUAGAACAUGUUACAUGGCUAAUACAACUUACAAGUCUUGGUAUAGAGAUACUAAAUCAGAUAAAUGCCAUGAAAGACUACAGAUUAUUUCAGACUACAGACCCUUUUUAGACUUCAGACCAUGUUUUAAGAAAGAUGCAUAUUUUUAAAAGGCUAAAAAAUAGGUUUAAAGAGAGUUGUGUGGAUAACCGAGAAGGCACGAGCUCAGAUAACUCAUAGUCCAAAAUCGUCUUUACCGAUGCGGAAUUGAUCUUGUUCUGGUAUAUGGAUGAUCAUUGUAUACUUGUUAAAUGCUUUUAUAUAUCAGACCAGACACUCUAAUCUUUGUGGCAAACUCAAAUUGGGGACUUGACCGAUGAGUCAAUGUAGAACCCUACAUAGCCCAUGGGGUUUUUCAGGCCAUGUUGGGUAUGUCAUUUAACUCAAAACUAAAGCAAAGAGUGAGUCUUUAUUUUACGAGAUUGAUUGAAGUUUUCUUUUUAUGCUCAUGUGUUUUGAUCUCUAUUAUGUUAAAUUGUUUAAACAAUGCUUUUGAUUAUUCUAUAUGAAAUAUAUGUUAUUUUUUGGAUUGUUCUGUGAACCAGUACAUUCCAAGUAUUGACCAUUCUCGGGAGACUACAUUGUCUCAUAAUGUAGAUUCUAAGGCUCAGUCCCGUGGUCCAUCAUAGCAGUAGAACCUUUGAAAACAUAAAAGUUGGUGAGUCAUUCAUCUUUUGAAAGGUAUUUUAUUUAUAUGUUCAUUUCUUUCAGUUUAUGGUCCAGUCGGGGGCCUUGUCCCGGUCUAGACAAUUUAGAGUUGAUUAGAGGCUUCGUAAACUGGAUAUUGAUAGAUGCAUUUUAUGUUGUUUUAUUGAGUGUCUAGGAUUUCUAUCUCAUUUAGAUUAAAGGACUUUCUUUGAUUUUCAUUAUACUUUCACAUUUCAGUUUAUAUUAUGCUUAUGGUAGUAUGCCAAGGGGUAUUCUUGGGUCUUCGCGCUUUGGGAUGCCCAUCGCAGCUAGGGCCUCAGCGUGGGUCAUGAUAGAUUGAUUCUUAUCCAACAUCCCCCCUCAAAUUGAAGGGUAAUGAAGAAAUCCCCAAUUUGUUCAAUAUUUCUAUGUGAAUCUCAUGAAAGGGUUUUAGUGAAAAGAUCGACCUAUUAAUGACUGGAUGGUAAAAAUGAGAGUAAAAUGAGACCAGCUUGGGGUGUUGACAAACAAAAUGAUAGUAAAGAUCCAAAUGCCUAGUUCUUUCAUGAAAAAUAAAGUUUCGAGCAAUGUGUAUGACAACUUGACUAUUUGAGUGAACUAGAACCGGUAGUGAUAGAGAAUUGAGAGAUCUGCACGAAGAUGAACUAGGUAAGUUAGUUUUGCAUUCACGUUCCUCAUGGAUCAAUGUUCCUCCUCUGUAGAUGAAAGGGAAAUCGAGGCCUGUUUUUUUUAUUCCAUGAGAUCGGUGCACCUCCUAGACACAAAUAUCCUUUUGGAUUGAAAAUCUAAAAAUGUAUAACUAUAUAUCCCUUUUAAUUUGGUCUAGAGAUUCUAAGAGUUCACAAGUCCUAGCUCUUUCAUCAAACUUCCCUCUUCCUUGACUCAAAGUAGAAGCAUUAUAUAGACAACCAAAGGUCUUGAGGGAAUGAAAAUCUGAUUUCCUCCAAAAUAGGAUCUGGUAAGGACUUUUCCCUUUGAGAACUAUGAAGGAUAGUCUAUUGAUCAAGUGAGUAGCAGCUGGAAUACAAUCUCCCUAAUAGAAAACUGAGACUUUAGACUGAAAAAAUAGACCUCUGACAAUUUUAAAAGGUGCAUGUGCUUUCUCUCUACCACCCUAUUCUGUUGAAGUGGGCAGUACAGCUUCUCUAAUGCAAAAUUCCAUGGCUGGUAAGCAAAGUUGCUUCUUGUGUUCCCCUACCAAUUCAAAAGAAGUCUGGUCUAAUACACUUUACUUUGAGAUCAAAUUGUGUUUCCACCAUUGAAAGAAAUUUUCAAAAUAGGAAAAGCAUUACAUUUGGUUGUCAACAAAAAUGUCCAUGUUCCUCUGCUAUACUCAUCAACUAUAGUGAGAAAAUACUUGUAUGUAAUUUCCCCAAAAGAAAUUAAAAUGUCAACUCUACACAGAAUAUUAUCAAGAAUUUUUUUCUUAGAGUUCAUCUCAUUACACGCAUAUACAAAGAGUUUGAUUCUUCCAGGAAUUUACUUUAGUAGUGUUAUUCCUUAGUUCGUCUAUCCAUCAACAUAUUGGCCCAAUUUUUUAUUUUUUAAAUUAAAAGGGCCUAAAAGGUUUUUUAUUACCAAUAUAUUUACAAGCCCAAUACUAUAUUUGAAAAGCCCAAACCGGUUUUGAAAAGAAACAAAAUACAAAAAUUAACAAAAAAAAACAAAAAGACAACUACUAAAAUCUGAAAAUAAUAGAAAGGGAGCUAGGAAGUCUCUAGAUAUUGUGGAUACUGUGCAUCGUCUUUUCUGAUAUGGCGACGCUGAGACUGCUCUGAUUGCCGACGGUGUGUGCGAAAUAACUACAGAUCUAUGAAAACAAUGCCAAAAUUGUUCGAAAGCUGAGUUAUGGUGGACUUCAUUUCGGACAUUUACCAACGUCUCACAAAUGCCAUGAAAUCGAGCCAUAGAAAGACUUAUUCAACUCUUCUUAGCACAAGACUGACUAAUUGAGUUGUUCGUACUUUGCCCUUCAAUUACCUAUCAUCUAUAGCAACCAAACCGACUAAGUCAUACCCUCGACAGAUUGAGCUCAACGGGGAACUGAUACCACUGCGUAAGAGUACUGAUUCAGUUGAUUCUACUAACUCCGGAGAAGAUGGGACAAUAACAACAUACCCAGUAUAUUAUAUGCAGAUGGGAUAUUAUAUGAAGAUGGGACAGAACUAGAAAAGAUUGUUAACAGAGGAACAUCGCAGAAGGUUGACACUUUCUCAAUGGCCCAAAAGCUGGCAAAGUGAAAAAGGUAUACCUGGCCGCCAAUUCAAACCUACUACUUUGUUUUCAUAAGAGGAAUUGAGACAUACUAGUAAAUCUAAAACCACCAUGGCUGAAGAAACCUGAAUUUGGGUAUUUAUAUGGAUAGCAGUCUGAGCUUGUAACUAAAUAGUGUAAAACAUGAUUCAUAUCAGUAGCGAAAAAGAAGUUGAUACAAGUCAAAUGACCAUCUUAAUUUUUGAAGACAUGAUUGGAGAUCAUCAUUUAAAGGCUCAAGACUUGGUCACCCCGAGGGCACAAGAAUAUGCAAAGAAGACCCCUUUUUGAGCACUAGCAAGGCCGUGUGUGGAAGAUUGCUUGGAGCAUUGAAGACUUGAGGACUCACGGUUUUGGACAACACUUAAUGGGUCAUGAUUUGGUCAUCUUCAUUAAGGGUAUUUUGGUCACUUCAUUGGGUUCAAAUGCACUCCAUGGCUACCCCACCCUUUAAGGGCAUUGUUGUCAUUUUGCCUUGUCUAGAAUAUAAAUAAAACAUUUUAGAUCUUUUUCUCAUUAGUUGUUCAUUGAUGUAAGACUUGAAACAUGAAACACCUUUAGUUGUAGGGCUUGGAAUAGCCACACACCGAAAUGAGGGCAACAAGUGUGGAUAUCAUUUGUGUUGCAAUGUUGGCUUGAGACGUUGGUGUUUAGAGGAGGUAAAGUUCCUCUUGUGUCAACGUAGGAGUUAGGUUAACCGUUGUGUGUAGUGUUAAAGGUUUAAGAUUAUCAUAUUCUUGGAUUCUUAAGAUUAUACCAAGGUCUAACUAUCUAUCCAUUUUGUGUAGGUUGUAAUCGUUUGUGUUUUUGUAAUUCAAAUCCGUGACUUGUUGUUUUGUAGCCGUGUGUUGCUGUUAUUACAUCUUGUUCAUCAAGUGUUGUUGCUGUUUUAGUGUGUUUUACUCUUGAUAUCA